rnacentral:rRNA from 1 species
UACGGAGGAUCCAAGCGUUAUCCGGAUUUAUUGGGUUUAAAGGGUGCGUAGGCGGCCUAUUAAGUCAGGGGUGAAAGACGGUAGCUCAACUAUCGCAGUGCCUUUGAUACUGAUGGGCUUGAAUGUACUUGAGGUAGGCGGAAUGUGACAAGUAGCGGUGAAAUGCAUAGAUAUGUCACAGAACACCAAUUGCGAAGGCAGCUUACUAAAGUAUGAUUGACGCUGAGGCACGAAAGCGUGGGGAUCAAACAGG